CAGACACAUUACUGGGAGUAUUAUUGCUGUGGAGCUCUGUUAUACACUCAGACACAUUAUUGGGAGUAUUAUUGCUGUGGAGCUCUGUUAUACACUCAGACACAUUACUGGGAGUAUUAUUGCUGUGGAGCUCUGUUAUACACUCAGACACAUCACUGGGAGUAUUAUUGCUGUGGAGCUCUGUUAUACACUCAGACACAUUACUGGGAGUAUUAUUGCUGUGGAGCUCUGUUAUACACUCAG